rnacentral:rRNA from 1 species
UUGUGAGUUCGAUGAGUAGGGCGGGACACGUGACAUCCUGUCUGAAUAUGGGGGGACCAUCCUCCAAGGCUAAAUACUCCUGACUGACCGAUAGUGAACCAGUACCGUGAGGGAAAGGCGAAAAGAACCCCGGCGAGGGGAGUGAAAUAGAACCUGAAACCGUGUACGUACAAGCAGUGGGAGCCUACUUGUUAGGUGACUGCGUACCUUUUGUAUAAUGGGUCAGCGACUUAUAUUCUGUAGCAAGGUUAACCGUAUAGGGGAGCCGCAGGGAAACCGAGUCUUAACUGGGCGUUAAGUUGCAGGGUAUAGACCCGAAACCCGGUGAUCUAGCCAUGGGCAGGUUGAAGGUUGGGUAACACUAACUGGAGGACCGAACCGACUAAUGUUGAAAAAUUAGCGGAUGACUUGUGGCUGGGGGUGAAAGGCCAAUCAAACCGGGAGAUAGCUGGUUCUCCCCGAAAGCUAUUUAGGUAGCGCCUCGUGAAUUCAUCUUCGGGGGUAGAGCACUGUUUCGGCUAGGGGGUCAUCCCGACUUACCAACCCGAUGCAAACUACGAAUACCGAAGAAUGUUAUCACGGGAGACACACGGCGGGUGCUAACGUUCGUCGUGAAGAGGGAAACAACCCAGACCGCCAGCUAAGGUCCCAAAGUCAUGGUUAAGUGGGAAACGAUGUGGGAAGGCAUAGACAGCCAGGAUGUUGGCUUAGAAGCAGCCAUCAUUUAAAGAAAGCGUAAUAGCUCACUGGUCGAGUCGGCCUGCGCGGAAGAUGUAACGGGGCUAAACCAUGCACCGAAGCUGCGGCAGCGACACUUAGGUGUUGUUGGGUAGGGGAGCGUUCUGUAAGCCGUCGAAGGUGGCCUGUGAGGGCUGCUGGAGGUAUCAGAAGUGCGAAUGCUGACAUAAGUAACGAUAAUGCGGGUGAAAAACCCGCACGCCGGAAGACCAAGGGUUCCUGUCCAACGUUAAUCGGGGCAGGGUGAGUCGACCCCUAAGGCGAGGCUGAAAAGCGUAGUCGAUGGGAAACAGGUUAAUAUUCCUGUACUCGGUGUUACUGCGAAGGGGGGACGGAGAAAGCUAGGUUAUCCGGGCGACGGUUGUCCCGGUUUAAGCGUGAAGGUGGAUGACUUUGGUAAAUCCGGGUCAUUAUUAACACUGAGGCGUGAUGACGAGUCACUACGGUGAUGAAGUAACCAAUGCUACGCUUCCAGGAAAAGCCUCUAAGCUCCAGGUAACAUCAAAUCGUACCCCAAACCGACACAGGUGGUCAGGUAGAGAAUACUCAGGCGCUUGAGAGAACUCGGGUGAAGGAACUAGGCAAAAUGGUGCCGUAACUUCGGGAGAAGGCACGCUGAUGGUAGGUGAAGUGACUUGCUCAUGGAGCUGAAAUCAGUCGAAGAUACCAGCUGGCUGCAACUGUUUAAUAAAAACACAGCACUGUGCAAACACGAAAGUGGACGUAUACGGUGUGACGCCUGCCCGGUGCCGGAAGGUUAAUUGAUGGGGUCAGCCGCAAGGCGAAGCUCUUGAUCGAAGCCCCGGUAAACGGCGGCCGUAACUAUAACGGUCCUAAGGUAGCGAAAUUCCUUGUCGGGUAAGUUCCGACCUGCACGAAUGGCGUAAUGAUGGCCAGGCUGUCUCCACCCGAGACUCAGUGAAAUUGAACUCGCUGUGAAGAUGCAGUGUACCCGCGGCAAGACGGAAAGACCCCGUGAACCUUUACUAUAGCUUGACACUGAACCUUGAGCCUUGAUGUGUAGGAUAGGUGGGAGGCUUUGAAGCGUGGACGCCAGUCUGCGUGGAGCCAACCUUGAAAUACCACCCUUUAAUGUUUGAUGUUCUAACGUGGACCCGUGAUCCGGGUUGCGGACAGUGUCUGGUGGGUAGUUUGACUGGGGCGGUCUCCUCCCAAAGCGUAACGGAGGAGCACGAAGGUUAGCUAAUCCUGGUCGGACAUCAGGAGGUUAGUGCAAAGGCAUAAGCUAGCUUGACUGCGAGAGUGACAGCUCGAGCAGGUGCGAAAGCAGGUCUUAGUGAUCCGGUGGUUCUGAAUGGAAGGGCCAUCGCUCAACGGAUAAAAGGUACUCCGGGGAUAACAGGCUGAUACCGCCCAAGAGUUCAUAUCGACGGCGGUGUUUGGCACCUCGAUGUCGGCUCAUCACAUCCUGGGGCUGAAGUAGGUCCCAAGGGUAUGGCUGUUCGCCAUUUAAAGUGGUACGCGAGCUGGGUUUAGAACGUCGUGAGACAGUUCGGUCCCUAUCUGCCGUGGGCGUUGGAAGAUUGAGAGGGGUUGCUCCUAGUACGAGAGGACCGGAGUGAACGCACCACUGGUGUACGGGUUGUGAUGCCAAUUGCAUUGCCCGGUAGCUAAGUGCGGAAGAGAUAACCGCUGAAAGCAUCUAAGCGGGAAACUUGCCUCGAGAUGAGUCUUCCCUGGGCACUAGAUGCCCCUGAAGGGCCGUUGAAGACGACGACGUAGAUAGGCUGGGUGUGUAAGCGUAGCGAUACGUUGAGCUAACCAGUACUAAUGACCCGAGAGGCUUAACCUUACAACACCGAAGGUGUUU